rnacentral:rRNA from 1 species
UACGUAGGUGGCAAGCGUUGUCCGGAAUUAUUGGGCGUAAAGCGCGCGCAGGCGGCCUUUUAAGUCUGAUGUGAAAGCCCACGGCUCAACCGUGGAAGGUCAUUGGAAACUGAAAGGCUUGAGUACAGAAGAGGAAAGCGGAAUUCCACGUGUAGCGGUGAAAUGCGUAGAGAUGUGGAGGAACACCAGUGGCGAAGGCGGCUUUCUGGACCAUUGCUGACGCUGAGACACGAAAGCGUGGGUAGCAAACAGG